rnacentral:rRNA from 1 species
UACGAAGGGGGCUAGCGUUGCUCGGAAUCACUGGGCGUAAAGCGCACGUAGGCGGAUUGUUAAGUCAGGGGUGAAAUCCUGGAGCUCAACUCCAGAACUGCCUUUGAUACUGGCGAUCUCGAGUCCGGGAGAGGUGAGUGGAAUUCCCAGUGUAGAGGUGAAAUUCGUAGAUAUUGGGAAGAACACCGGUGGCGAAGGCGGCUCACUGGCUCGUAUCUGACGCUCAGGCGCGACAGCGUGGGGAUCAAACAGG